rnacentral:tRNA from 1 species
GAAUUCAUAGUUUAUCAAGAAUAAUUCAUUUACGAUGAGUAGGUAGUGAGUUCUGUAGAUUUU